UACGUAGGGUCCGAGCGUUGUCCGGAAUUAUUGGGCGUAAAGGGCUCGUAGGCGGUUCGUCACGUCGGGAGUGAAAACUCGGAGCUUAACUCCGAGCCUGCUUCCGAUACGGGCAGACUAGAGGUAGGCAGGGGAGAGCGGAACUCCUGGUGUAGCGGUGGAAUGCACAGAUAUCAGGAAGAACACCGGUGGCGAAGGCGGUUCUCUGGGCCUGUACUGACGCUGAGGAACGAAAGCGUGGGGAGCGAACAGG
rnacentral:rRNA from 1 species